rnacentral:lncRNA from 1 species
AUGAAUGCAGCCCCCCCCAAAUCUCUCCCAGCACCAGCCCGGCAGCAAAGAGCCCGGCACGGAGGGAGCGUGGCUGCGGCUGGGCUGGUCCAGGGAGGGACAAUAAAGCCAAUCCCGGGCAGGAAAAAUCACAAGGUGGAGUUGAAUGCAGUGGUUAACUACCAGCAAUAUGUUCUGAAGAUGAUGGUGUUCAGACAAAUACCCAAUUUGAUUCUGAUAAAUUGGAUGCAAGACUUUGACCAGCAUGAGAAGAACAGAGAGAACAACAUGCAACUGAGAUAUUAUGAAUUCAGUCAGAUCCUGCUUUGGGCUGGCAGCAGAGAGCAAAGCCUACAUUGAAUCCAUAACUUCUGCUUAUGGAAUAAAAUAUAUUUUGGGAUGAUCACAAAGGCCAUGGUGAAGAAUCUCUUCAUCCCAAGGUAAGCUGGUACAGUGGCACAAGCUGAAACGAAGCACUUUGGUUCUAGGCUUCAUUUGACUGUUAAAUCUCAUAAUUUUUUUGCUGAGAGAUUAAAAAUGUGCCAUAAGAAGUCUCAGCAUCAAUUCCUAUGGAUGAGGAUGGUUUAUCCCUUAAAUCAGUCUGUGAUGCAGUGAACAGAAAUAGAAUCACCAAAUUCCUCAACAUUCAUUACCAGGCAUCAUUUACAGAUCUUGCAGGAUUUUUGGAAAAGGCAUUUAAGAUCAUGAAGUCUUUUUUUUUUUUUUUUUUUGUCUUUAAAUUAUUCCAUUAACAAUUAAAGAAGAGUCUAAAUAUGCAGCAUUCCAUGAUUUCCACUCACCCCCUGAGAUCAUGAAACCUGUUGGAAAAUACUUUUAAAGCAAGAAAAAAGUGCAGUGUAAGAUUCCUGUGCAAACACUGAAUCCAUUCCUUCUGCCAAGAGUUUAUAAUCUAUUUUUUUAAGAUUUUAUUCAUGCUGGCUUUUGUUUUUCCCCCUUUCCAGUGGGAAUGUUACAUUUAUGGAUCAGAUGGAAGCAGA